rnacentral:lncRNA from 1 species
GUAAGUGUAAUUUUAGAUUUAGAUGUCAGGACCACACUAACUAAAAUAUACAAAGCUGAUUUCAGUCAGUACAUUUUCUAACCUCAAAAAUGUGAUGUGUAGAUUGUUAGUAACGUGUUUUUCGUCACGUCCGUGGAUUCUUGUUUUCCACGGGUGAAGCAGAAUAUCCAGAGACGUGAUUUAUUUUACAAGUAACAUUAGAUUAGCGAAUCGACUAUAUACUUAUUGUAUCAAAACAAAAUAAAAAAAGGAAAGGUUUAACUUAGUUUAUUGCUAACUUAAUGUAAAAUUAAAUAAUGCACAUUAUAUUUUAUGUACCCUACGUACGUAGACAUCAGAAAUAAAAAUACUUUGUAAAGUCAGUGAUCACAUCAUGUCCGUGGACUAUACAAAUUAUUUUUUUGAAUUUACG